rnacentral:rRNA from 1 species
AUGGAUCAAAUUAGGGCAUUCCCACAAAGGCACAUGUUGCUGCACUGGUCAGCUCGAUUCAGUGGCACCAUGGCUCAGCCAACAGAUGUUCAACUUCCAUCAAAGUCCGGUUAA